GUGCCAGCAGCCGCGGUAAUACGUAGGGUGCGAGCGUUGUCCGGAUUUAUUGGGCGUAAAGGGCUCGUAGGUGGUUGAUCGCGUCGGAAGUGAAAUCUAGGGGCUUAACCCUGAGCGUGCUUUCGAUACGGGUUGACUUGAGGAAGGUAGGGGAGAAUGGAAUUCCUGGUGGAGCGGUGGAAUGCGCAGAUAUCAGGAGGAACACCAGUGGCGAAGGCGGUUCUCUGGACCUUUCCUGACGCUGAGGAGCGAAAGCGUGGGGAGCGAACAGG
rnacentral:rRNA from 1 species